CGGCCGCAGCUUCCUGGAGCCCGGACAAAGGUGUUCAGCAGCGCUCCCCGCUGAGGCGAGCCCGACAGCCGGGACUGCGGUCCCUAUUUCUUCCCAUUCUUCAUGGCUACUGCAGCACAGAAUCACAGAGUCAUUCGCGUUGGAAAAGACCUCUGACAUCAUCGAGUCCAACCUAUAACAGAACACCACCUUGUCAACCAGAGCACUGAGUGCCACUUCCUUCGUUCCUUGAACGCCUCCACUGACGAAUACACCACCACCUGCCUGGACAGCCCCUCCCAAAGCUCGCCCCGCGUUCCCAGGAUUUAAUGAAACGCUGCAGCCCAGGCCCACCCGCCGUGCAGCCCCCGCCCCGAAGGGCCUUCAGGGGCGCUGAGGCCGGACCGCUCCCCCUGCCGAGCCCGGCCCCCUCCAUUGGCAAUGGCCAGGUAACCUCCUCCCGCCUAACACCCAUCAGAUACGCGCAGUGGAGCUCUCCCGUUGGGAUCUCAAGGAGAUGUGUGAGGGGAAAGCGUCUGUCACGAAACGCGUCCUGUCAUUUGCUCCAAGCCGUCUUCAAACACAGCAAGUCCAGAGAUGCCACCGUUCCCAGAGCGCAUCCCUCUCCGGGAGCUGGCGAGCUCUUUACAAACAGAGUCCCACCACAUCAAAGCCGCGGAGUCAGGAAAUUGGAUCUGCUCUCCCCAAGCGGCAAACAGGAGGAGCAGGCCACAGGUCUGACUCGGUAGAUCAACAUAACACCAGAACCAGAAGAAAGGGAAGAUAAAAGGAAGACAGUUCUAGCUAGAGACCCAUUUUCUGCUGACAGAAGUCAGUAUCUGCUGCCCGAAGCGCUGGAAAAAAGUCCAGCUUGUCCUGCAGAACGGGAUCUACAGGAACCAGCAGAAAGCCCUCGUUGCUUUCUGAGCAAAUAACCAGCAUGUCUCUCAAAGUGCUUUCCCAAGCCCAGACAAAAGAACAGAUUUAAUAACCAUUUAAAAACCAUUUCCUCCCCACUGCACAGAGUGCAUUGUGAUUUUGUCCCACUUAGCUUACAGAAGUCAUCACCACAACUGAAUUUGAGAGGAAUGUCAGGCAGCAACAGAGGGCCUUCAAAAAGUUGACAUAGAAGAAAUUUUUUUAAAAGGAAAAGAAAAAUUAAUCAGAUCUCUGAGUUUACUGGUCCCAUACUUACCAGUCUAGUCACCGGAAACCCUGAAGGAAACACCUUUGUGGAGAAAUACACACUCUGAAGC
rnacentral:lncRNA from 1 species